UGGCGGGCACAGCAUGAAGGGUCACAAAGAGUUGGACGCGACUGAGUGCGUGUGUACCCCAUAACCUAGGUUUCAGAUUUUAUAGCUAAUUUGCAGCCCCUUUUAGUUUCCGAUGGUUACAAAAUUUUAAUAGUUAUGCUGGAUGUAGCAUGGAGGGGAACAAAAUUGGGUGCAGGCACCAGCUGUGAGGUGGUUGCAGUUCCCUAAGAGGUGACAGUGACUUGAGGACUUGUAUUUCUACCGAGGGUGAACAAUGCUGCAAGAAAACAUCACUGCCACCUUAACAAUGAGGAAUAGCCAGAUAAUCGACAAAAUCACAGCUUUUCUUGAGUCCUCAGAAAGCUGAGGUCACCAGGCAACUAAGUAAAGCCCCUUCAAGAGAGAGAGACACACACACAGGAACUGUUUCAACUUUAGCAGAGCACAGGAAACAGGGGUGGCUGUCAUACAAGCGGGUAAGAUGAAACCAACAAAAAUUUUAACAAAUGUUUAAAAGCUAGGGUGUCAUGGGCUAGCAUGUCAGUUUAGGGUAGCUGGAGACCAUUCCAGACACGGGGGGUGUUAUAUACUCAUAGGCACGCUUUAUUCUACUGACUCCCCCUGAGGUUCCUGAGAAAAAGUGAGAGCAGGGCAGGAAAUGAGAGAGCUUUCCUCUUUGGUGGUGCAAGCAUAUAUUGAUUAAGGCAGUGCUGGGGGAAGGCAAAAGGCCUCAGCUGCUCCCACAAUCCUUUUCUCCAAUAAGCAACAGCCUUAAGUUAGGGAGGGGCAACAGAGUUUUGCUUAAGUUGUUAUUGUUUUCAUUUAGUUGCUAAGUCAUGUCCAACUCUUUGCAACCCGUGGACUGUAGCCCACCAAGCUGCUCUGUCCAUGAGAUUUCCCAAGCAAGAAUACUGGAGUGGGUUGCCAUUUCCUUCUCCAGGGGAUCUUCCUAACCCAGGGAUCGAACCCACGUCUCCUGCAUUGGCAGGUGGAUUCUUUACCACUGAGCCACCAGGGAAGCCCUCAUCUACUUCUAGGUAAAGGGUAAAAAAACCUUCUUGUCCUUCUUUGACACUUGAAAACCCAUUGAUUUUUUGGGGGAAAACAGAAGCAAAAGACCUCUACUCCAAGGGGAGAAGCAGGGAACUAUCUCAGGCUGAAAAUUCAAGCCCAGGUCUGUUCUGUUAGGGGAAAGGGAAGAAAGAUUGACCCAAAACCAACCACAGGUAGGAGGUGGAGUUUGGGAGCAGGAGCAGAAAUACUGAGAAAGAUCCACUUCUGAAACUCACAUAGGACCUGCCCAAGACUGAAGCAGAAGCAGGAUGUCAGAGACCCUGCUCUAACCCCCGUGAGCCUAGCACCAAAGAGCAAGCUAUGGGAGUAUCCUCUGGGUCGAGGGGCUGGCAUGCUGGGAUGGCUGAAAAGGUGAGAGUGGAGCAGGAAUACAGAAAAAUACAGGAAUACAGAAAAACCCUCUGACACAUGGUCUCCACUCUAAGCAGCAUCACUAGAAGGAUGUGUCUGUGACACACUGAGAUAAUGACAGCAGCAACAAAAUCCAAACCCUGCCUGACUCCUAACUAGAUUAAUUCCAUCUUGCGCCCACCCCUCAGACCAACUUGCGGACAGAAGAGGCGUGACCAUUUCCGGGCAGAAAUACCGUUUACCUCAGUCUCUGCUGUUCUACAAAGGAUAGGCACUCAAUAAGAAUUUACAAAACAUACAAAAAGUCAACAAAGAAAAAAAUCCAAUCCAUUGUCAAAAGAUACAUCAACAGAGCUAGACUGGCAAAUGACACAGAUACUGAAACCAUCAGACAGGAACUUUAAAAAUAGAAACAACUUAGUAUGUUAAACAGCCUGUUGGAAAAAAAAGUUGGCAGCUUACAUGAACAAAGGGGUAAUUUUGGCACAAACACAGAAACUGUAAGAAAGCCAAGUGGAGGGAUUUCCCUGGCUGACUCCAUGCUCCCAAUGCAGGGGGCCCGGGUUCAAUUUCUGGUCAGGGAACUAGAUCCCACAUGCUGCAACUGAAGAUUCUGCUGCCACAGUGAAGAUCGAAGAUUCUGUGUGCUGCAACUAAGACCCGGCACAGCCAAAGAAAUAAAAAGAAAGCGGAAAGGAAAGGCUAGAAAUAAAACACAUGUGAUAUCAAAGAUAAAUUCCUUCAAUGGGCUUGUCAAUAGGUAGCACAGCUGAGGAAAGAAUCCAUGAAUUUGAGAAAGGAACUAACAGAAGCUAGACUCAAACUAGAUUAAGCUAUAAAGGGACACUGACGGGGAAAAACAGAAGUGGAGCUGGCCUCAAGGCCAGCUAGAUCUAAGGACUCAAACAGUAUCUUCAGUCUUUUUUUCACUAUAAACUUUGAUGUGUGUGUUGGUGUGGCACAGAGAGUUCUGCACAUCAUCCCAGUUUAGCAAAUCCAAAGGUAGAGCUCUCCCUUCUAGCUCUAUAUAAUAAAUCUCAGGGAAGGAAUCUGAUUGGCCUGGCUUGGGUCACAUGCUUAUUGAAACAAUUACUGUGACCAGGGAAAGGAUACUCAUUUCUUGUCUGAGCCUAGGUCCAACCCCAGGGUAAUAGGUACAGAGUUUGGGGGUUGGCAAUUAGACCAGACCCAUUUGAGAAUGGCAAGUGGGGGAAGAGUUGCUGUUACCUGAAAAAAAGAGCAAGAGGGGCUUCCCUGGUGAUCCAGGGGUUAAAAAAUCUGCCCACCAAUGCAGGGCACAUGAGUGCAAUCCAGGAAGAUCCGGUCUUGGUCCGGGGAGAUCCCACAUGCUGCAGAGCAACUAAGCUUAUGCGCCACAAUUAACAAGCCAGUGCUCUAGAGCCACAGCUUCUGAAGCGUGCAUGCCUAGAGCCUGUUCUCUGCAACAAGAGAAGCCACCACAAUGAGAAGGCCACUCACAGCAAUGAACAGUAGCCCCUGCUCCUGCAACUAGAGAAGGCCCCCACACAUCAACAAAGACCCAGCACAGCCAAAAAUAAACACAUAAAUCUUAAAAAAAAAAAAAAAGCAAAAGGGAUGCAGAGAAGCCAAAAGCACAGACAUUCAGUGCCUUCGGUUCAGUUGAGUCAACAGUGUUGGUGGUGGUUUAGUCGCUAAGUCAUGUCUGACUCUUGCGACCCCAUGGACUGUAGCCCACCAGGCUCCUCUGUCCAUGAGAUUUUCCAGGCAAGAAUACUGGAGUGGAUUGCCGCUUCCUUCUCCAGGGGAUCUUCCCAAGCCAGGAAUUGAACUCAGGUCUUCAGCACUGCAGGAAGAUUCUUUACCAACUGAGCUAUGAGGGAAGCCCACUUGUGUACCUGCCAAAAAAUUAUAAUUCUAGAAAUCAAUAGUGGAAAUGUACUUAGGGCCAUAGUAGUGAAAAAUACAUUCUGUACUGGUCGUACUGCUCCAAAGCAUCAUUGGGGCACCACACUGAAAGAGGAAUGUUAGCAAAUCACAGUGCUCCCUGGAGGAGGGGUCCAGGAUGAGGAGGCUCAGAAGAUUGAGUCAUUUGAAGAACCAGGGCAAUAAGAGUUUUUGGCCUAGAGAAGAGAAGAUGUAGUAGCCAUGGUUGGCCUUAGAAUAUCCAGAGCAGCCUUGGAUAGAAAGAUGAGACAUCGAAGUAUAGAGGACAACUAGGUCCAGUGUGGAGAAGUCUCAAGGAGGCCAAUGACCAUUUAACAUAAAAACUUUCUAACAGCUAUCCAAGAAUGGACAAUGCUUACUUAUGAAGGUAGUGAGUUCCCUGUCACUAGAGGUGUUUAAGCAAGUGUCAGAGAGGUUGUAAAGGGAAUUCCCAAAUUGCUGGAAAAUUGGAUCAGGUAACCCCCCUGAGGUUCCUUCCCAGUUACAACAGUUCAUGGCUGUCUGUUGGAGAUCUAUGUAAGCUUGCUGCUAACAAGUCUGCCCUGGCCUUCCCAACAUCUGGGAGGUAGAGCUGGUGAGUGCUUUUCCUUCCCUAGAUGAUAAUGACCCCUUCCAACAAAUACCUGAUCACCUACCAACCAGCAGUCAGGAACAGAGCCUUCCAACACUUUUUUUUAAAAAAUUAAUAUUUAUUUAUUUGGCUGCACAGGGUCUUAGUUGUGGCACUCUGGAUUUUUGAAGUUGCAAUAUGCAAAUUCUCAGUUGCAGCAUGCGAGGAUCUAGUUCCCUGACCAGGGAUCAAACCCAGGUCCCCCAGCAUUGGGAGUCUUAGCCACUGGGCCACCAGGGAAGUCCCUUUCCAACACUUCUUAUCUUAGCUCAGCCCUAAGGGAACUGACUUUGACUCUGGCUCUGAAGGUCACAGAAAGACAGCACUCAUGCUAUUUAUGCUCUCUGAAUACAUAUCAUGAGACAAGGACUUGGAUGUAGGCAUUAUUUUAGGGGCUGAGUAGGAGUGAGGGAGCAAUGAGACGGGGAAAUUGAAUUGAGGGGACCACUCUGGGUACUUACAGCUCAGUCCUCCUGGGACCACUCUGAGGAACCAUACAGAUCACUGAUCAGAAUUCCUCCCGAGUGAUAAAGUAAUUCCACUAGUGCCUUCCCUUGUUGAUUGAGGUUUGCCCUUGGGAGAGUUAAGCUCCUGAGACUCCCAGGCUGCCUGGCAGGGGCUGAGGAGAGCCUCUGACAGAAGAGAGGCUGUGUCAGAACCAUCCACUGCAGCUGCAGCUGGACACAAAAGUGGGCUGGAAGGACAUGGGCACUAACAACAACAUCUGCUACAGCCCCUUUCCCACCCAGGCCCAGACCUAUCUUCCAGGGCAGCGUGGGACCUUUGAUUUGCACAUUCCAGCCUCCGUGGUGCACAUUCCAGUGUAGAACCUUUGACGGCACAUUGCCGGUUGGCUAGUUCAGCACAGCCCUGUCUGAGUGUCCACCCACAGCUCUACUGGGCUCCAGUCUCCCUUCUGGGCCUGACUCCCUCUCUGGGCUCUCUGGGCUGGGGGCACCGGGCUGGGCCCUCUAAGCUGGCACCUGCUCUCUUCUCCAUCCACAUGUGAGCUGGAAACAGUGACAUCAGGGACAUUGGCUCCAUCGUCCUACACUGUGUUCAAGGCCAGGGAAGGCUGAAGGCUGGAUGGGCUCUGAGUUUCCUCUCACUAUAUCUUAAAAAGAAAAGGCUAAGCACAACCAAGAACUCAAAGGCCCCAAGAAACCUCACUCAAGGCCAUAGAGACACUUCAAAGAUGGGAAAUCAGAGCACUAACAUUGGAGGCAGGGUUCCUGGCCAGACCCAGAGGACCAAUCCAAGUUGGCUCACCACUCCUCUAACUUCUCUGGCCUGCUUUGGUCAGAGCUGAACACCUCUCUCUCUUCCUCCCUUGGUUCCUCUUAUCUUCUUACUCCCACACUCCUGUCUGGUACUCAGCUCUUCUCUCCUCUUCCAUGUUAAUUACCUUCCAGGGCUGCUUCAUCAUCUCUGAUGUUCACAUCCACAAGUCUUUAAUUUUCGCUCUUUUCUUUUCAUCCCUGCUCAGUGUUCUGAUGUCCAUUUUACCACCUUGGAGAGGUGAGGCUGAGAGUGAGUAUUUAUGAUGAGUUAGGGGUGAGAUGGAACCAAGGACCUCCCUAGGGCAGGAAGAGGGGUGUGUGUGCGUGUGUGUUUAUGUGCUGGUGUAGAAUGAGGUUCAAGUUUACCAUUAUUAGCUUAGGACAAGAUCGCUCCCCUAAGGUGGCAAAUAUUAUCCAGCCAGAGGAAGAGCCUGGCCAGCAAAUCCUUUCAGACUCCACCUGAGCCCUUGGAGAGGAUGAGACAAAGAGAAAUAUUGGAUCCGAGCCCCGCAUAUAACAAGGUAAUUGACUGGGAUGGGAGCAAAAGGGUGUGAAAACUGACUUCUCUCACACCUCUGCCCUCUUCCUCUCCCCUCCCUCCCUCAGAGCCUCUCCUUUGUCCUUUUAGCCUGGGGUUCUCUCUGCUUAUGUCAUCAGGGGUCCCUGUGCCUCUCUUUCUUUCUUUUUCUUAUUUCCAUCUCCGACUCUGUUUCACUUUAUUUUCCCCGCUGUCCUGCGCUGCCAAGGUUCUGUCACCAUCUCUCUUGCAUCUUCAUAGUCUCUGGGUCCCUAAGUCUGUUUGCUUCUCUUUGUCUAGGUCAGAGUGUGUGCCUCUAACUUGGUCUGUUUUUCUGUCUGUCCGUAUUCCCGGAAGCCCUGUAACUCCGGAAUGCCUGGCAGGAAUGGCUUUUCUGAGAACGGAGCCUGGGACAGCCACCCAAUGUGCUGAGUAGAGGUGGCUAAGGACAUUUCCAGCCCAGCAGUCGUCAUGGCAACAGCUGGGGCGGGCCAGGCAGGGAUGUGCUGAACCACGUGGGCUUGACCUUUCUGUGGGUGUCGGGUUUGAGCGGGAGCUGGGGAAAAACAGCAACAACUGCUUCCCUUUGGCCCAGCCCUCAGGCAUCCGGGCUGGGCGGAAAGGAGAGAGGGAGAGACGGAGAACCGGGACAGCUGGUGACACAGUGAGAGAGGGACAAAAGUGAAAUGGAAUAAAGAACUAUGGAGCGCCUGAACACUGAACAAAAAAGGGAAGCUUGAAGGAAGGAGGAGAGGUUGGGUGGACCCUGGAAAUUAUAAACCCAUAGACCUAGGUCUGUUACAUGGGAAAACUUUACAAAUAUUAACUUGUAAACACCCUAGAAAAUCAAAUGAGAUAAUAUACAUGAAAGCACUUUAAAAAAAUAAAACUUUAAAGGGCUAUAGAAGUAUAAGGUGUUAUUAUGAAAUAUUUCUGCUCAGGCAGACUGUAAACCAGAUGCUUGGGGAGGCUGGAGAUUUAUGAUAAUGGCUCAUCACCCACAAGGUACUCACACAUCUUAGGCUGUUUCAUUUAAUUAGUCGUUGCCUCUCAGAGACUACUGCAGAAGCCUUCUAAGUGGCUUCCCACUCCACCUUCUUGCUUGUUCUGUUCAUCUUAUAACUCACUGCUGGGUUAAUUUUCCUGAUGCAAAGCUCUAAUCCAGCAUUUGCUAUGCUUCCUCUGGCUGACAGUAUAGGGCCUGGAGACUUUGGCUUAGCAGCCAGGAUCCUCCAUAAUCUGGUUCUACCCAACUUUUCCAGCCUGAUUUCCCUCCUUCCAGCCUGGCAGAUGCAGGCUCAGGUCAUUUACCCAAGACUACUCAAGACUUCUAACACCAGACACCUGACUCCCAAACCAACGCUCUUUCUUAGCCCGUAACUUCUUCACUUUGAUGAAUAGAACUGCAAUGACGAGCUUUCUACGCUGAGCUUUUUCUCUUCUUUUGAAAAAUUUUCUCAGGACAAAUUCCCAGGAGUGGGAUUACCAGGUCAAAAAACAUUAAUAUUUUUAUGGCUGCAUGAAUUGACGUACACUUUGUAAAAGGGUUGAGCUGAUUUAUAUUUUAGCCAGUGAUAUAAAUAUAUACAGAUUCUACCAGACCCUUCUUUCCACUGGG
ensembl:lncRNA